AUUGAACGCUGGCGGCAUGCUUUACACAUGCAAGUCGAACGGUAACAGGCCGCCAGGUGCUGACGAGUGGCGAACGGGUGCGUAAUGCAUCGGAACGUGCCCAGUCGUGGGGGAUAACUACUCGAAAGAGUAGCUAAUACCGCAUACGAUCUAUGGAUGAAAGCGGGGGACCGUAAGGCCUCGCGCGAUUGGAGCGGCCGAUGUCAGAUUAGGUAGUUGGUGGGGUAAAGGCUCACCAAGCCAACGAUCUGUAGCUGGUCUGAGAGGACGACCAGCCACACUGGGACUGAAACACGGCCCGGACUCCUACGGGAGGCAGGAGUGGGGAAUUUUGGACAAUGGGCGCAAGCCUGAUCCAGCAAUGCCGCGUGCAGGAAGAAGGCCUUCGGGUUGUAAGCUGCUUUUGUACGGAACGAAACGGCUCUGGUUAAUACCCGGGGCUAAUGACGGUACCGUAAGAAUAAGCACCGGCUAACUACGUG
rnacentral:rRNA from 1 species